rnacentral:misc_RNA from 1 species
CUCACCGCGCUCUGCAUCCUCCCUCACCGCCAUCCAACCCCCAACCACUCCCACCGCACCACCAUGUCCCGCACCAAGGAGACCGCCCGCGCGAAGCGCACCAUCACGUCGAAGAAGAGCAAGAAGGCGUCGAGCGGGGCGUCCGGCGUGAAGAAGUCGCAUCGCCGCUGGCGCCCGGGCACCUGCGCGAUCCGCGAGAUCCGCAAGUUCCAGAAGAGUACGAGCCUGCUGAUCCAGUGCGCGCCGUUCCAGCGCCUGGUGCGCGAGGUGUCGAGCGCGCAGAAGGAGGGCCUGCGCUUCCAGAGCAGCGCCAUCAUGGCGCUGCAGGAGGCGACGGAGGCGUACAUUGUGUCGCUGAUGGCGGACACGAACCUCGCCUGCAUCCACGCGAAGCGCGUGACGAUCCAGCCGAAGGACAUCCAGCUGGCGCUGCGCCUGCGCGGUGAGCGCCACUAGAGACGAAGCCAACGCGUGCGCUGCGGCACUUUUCUUGGCUGCGCAGACGAGGUGAGAGGCUGCGGUGGGGAGCGGAGGGAGGACGCUGUGUGUGAGCUGCGUCGACGCUCUGCACUCUCCCCCCUUCCCCCUCGCUCACCUGCUGCCCCUCAGCAAGUCAGCGUUGCGUGCGUGUGUGUGCUUGUGUGAGCGGCGCUCUCACGGACUCGCACGGGCUUACCGACACACACUCCAUAGAUGCUCUUCGUUUUCGACCCACCUUCUUUCUUGUGUUUUGUUUUGCAGUUUUGAUGUGCUUCGCGUCCCUCUGCGGUGCUCGUGACGUCUGAGGAGACGCCCGUUCAUGUGCUUCGUAUUUUCUCCCAUCAGCGCCGUGGCCCAUCAUUUGUUUUCUGGGCCGCGCCUCUCUUAGCCGCUGUGCACGCACGAGGCGGUGGUGUGGGCGAGGUGGCCGAUGCGCUGGAGGAGGGGAGGGGGAAGGAAGGACGGGGUAUACCUUGGGCACCGAGCACUGCGUAAGAAACGGAAAAUGCAACGACUCGCGCACGCGCACGGAGACGCAUGAGGUGCUGGCGGCACGGGCGGUGUGCCGCGCCUCUCACAAGCGAAAUGGCGGUGGAGAGAAAGUAAAAGUACAAGGAAGAGAAGAGGGACGAGAGGAGCGCGCGUGUGUGUGUGCGCGCAUCGUUCCCGAAGUGGUUCACAGAUUCACCGACGGACUCAUACACCCAUGGGAAGAGACAUGCGCUGUGCAUCGGCGCAGGCGUGUGUGUCUCCCUGUAGCGUUCGAGGGAUGGUGGUGCCGCCCCGUCCCAAGCAGUGCUGGAGCGAGAGGCAGCUUGUGUGAUGCGGUUUUGCCUAUGCGAGCGUGCGGAGGCACGUCUCUUUCCUCUUCGUUCGUCCUGCCCUCUCUUCCUCGUCUUCCCUGGUUAUGAUGAUGCUCCGCUCUCCCUCUUCUCCUUGGCGAACAG